CCAGAAUGUAGGAGACAUUUUCUUGAGUGAGAACUAUUCUCAAGUUUUUUAACCAGUCGACGUAGUUUGGUCUGGUCAAUUUAUUUACAUCUAGUAUGCCCCUAAGUGAUAGUGAGGAUGCCAUAUAUGUGUUAAUCUACAAUAAUAAGAACACAAUAUAAGUAGACAACUCAUGAUGACAUGCACAACUAGAUUAGGAUAUUUGUCUAAUUAUGUCUCUCACU
rnacentral:lncRNA from 1 species